UCCAUUAUUUUCCUGAAUAUUCUCUGCAAUAUCUGCAAUAUCUGUAAUAUUCGUUGAGUGAAUUUUUGCUACUAUCACAUCGCCACAGACUUGUUCACAAUUGUUAUUGCAAUUGUUAUUGUUCUGUGGAGCAACUGGGACGAUGUAAGGAAAGUAUACAUAGGCAGUGUUAUCAGGAUGAUAAGGGUAAGAUUCGUUCGCGACACCAGGAUAUGGAAGAGGGUAGUAACCCCACCAACCACUGUCAGGGGUCCAAAAUGGAGGAGGACAGGGAGAGAGGAAGACACCCUGCUGAUUGCCCGGCACGUUAUUCUCUGUUUGGCAGUGGUAAUCUGCUUGACGAUUUUCUUGCGUGGCUACAACAAACAGCACAAUGCAUUCAGACAAGAAGUUCAACUGUUCCUAUUGGGGUGUGAUGUGGUCUUGCGUUUCUCCCUUUUCUAUUUUUGCUUCUCUGCUUUUAUCCCCUUCUUUUCACCCGCACACUUCCCUUUCUCUUAUAUUACACGCGAUAUUCUUUCUUUUUCAUAUUAGGCGAUGGAAGAACGAGUGAUAGACAUUCAUUUCAUGUUCUGUUUAAGCUUGAGGCUCAUUUCAAAUUCACAAUCUCGUUAUUAUAGAUAUCAUGGAAUAUUGUUAAUUCUGAUAAGGAAUGACUUGGUGGCUGAAAAAACCUUACCAACUAAAGGCUACAGGAAAAUUCCAAAAGAUAAAAGAUUAGAUAAGAAAUACAGUUCUUUGAAUACACAACAUGUUUGGUGAACUAAUUAUCAAAGAAGCAGUGUCUUGCGCGCAGCAAAAAUGUUCCACACUAUUAUGUUGAAAUAUUGACUUGGCAACUAAGUGGUUGCGGACUUUGCCGAUAGCGUCUAAUGACAAAAUCCGCAAUCACUUAGUUGCCAAGCCAAUAUUACAGAAAACGAAAUAAAUGUCUACCAUGAACGAUCCUCCGUUGGCUGUGAAAAAUCGACGGACAAGCGAGAUGCCACGAGGAUAAGCAACGAGUGUAAUCGCGGACGGCUACGAAAGAAUGAGAGAGAGAGAGAAAGAGAGAGAGAGAGAAAAAAAAACGAGACGUGUGAUCCUGUGUUCAAAGGAAACGAUCGAAAAUUGUGAACGCAAAACCAGCUCGUCGAUGAUCUUCGACGGGACACAAGCGAUCAUUACGUUCGAGUAGGAAGAACAUGCUCGUACGAUAUUCUGGACAGAUGGAUCAAGGAUGACAGAUUUUUUACGCUUGUUGGUCUCGACGAUAAAUGUUCGCCGAUCGACACUCACCGACGCUCUCCGGCGCUGUCAUCGCUUGUAAUAUCCUGAACGAUCUGGAGGGAAUCGCGCUGCCCAUGUAUUUCUUUGGCUCUGGAACCUGUUGCUCGCUUGGUGGAUUAAUGAGAAGCUAAUCUUGCUUCGAUGUAAUGGAGAGCUAAUCAGAGAAAAAUGACUAACAAGUUUACUUACCAAACGUCUUUGAAUUCCUGUUCUGCUUCUUGUUUAUGGCGGAUGGUGGUCGUGACGCUGCAACCAGGAGCAUCACCGGACUCCGUCAUAGUCUGUAGGAAGCGGAAAGCUCGAGAGGGUAUAGCACCACCACGAUAUCUCGGAUCUUCCUCGUGAUGAAGAGAAGAUUCAUUGUCGACUAUAGAAAGAAGAACACGUAAAUCCUAUCGUCCUCUGACAAUUGAAGUUUACGCAUCUGUUCAGUGUCCACGUCGUUCGUUGAAUCCGUGUCUGUGAUCUUCUGAAGAACUCUGAACGAUCGAGAUUGAACUGGACCAGAAUCCGAUUGCUGAACUUGCACAGCAUUAGACGCGUUAUUCCUAAGAAUCGGUUGCGAGUACGAGGUAUUCGAAGUAGCUACACCAGCAGGCUUCUUAUCACUUCCCUCGAUCAUAAUUGGUAUAAUGUACGCGCCACCUGUCGAUUGUUGAGGCACCUGAUUCUGGAUCUG